rnacentral:rRNA from 1 species
GAUGAACGCUGGCGGCGUGCCUCAAACAUGCAAGUCGAGCGAGGCUAUGAGUUACCGCAAGGGUAAGGCAUAGCCUAGCGGCGAACGGGUGAGUAACACGUGGGUAACCUACCUGGAAGACAGGGAUAACGAUUCGAAAGGGUCGCUAAUACCUGAUAAUAUCCAUCUGCCGGAUGGCGGAGGGAAGAAAGGGGAAACCCGCUUUCAGAUGGGCCCGCGUCCCAUCAGCUAGUUGGUAAGGUAAAGGCUUACCAAGGCGACGACGGGUAGCCGGUCUGAGAGGAUGUACGGCCACACUGGGACUGAGAUACGGCCCAGACUCCUACGGGAGGCAGCAGUUGGGAAUCUUAGGCAAUGGACGAAAGUCUGACCUAGCGACGCCGCGUGAGGGAAGAAGGCCUUCGGGUUGUAAACCUCUGUCAUGGGGGAAGAAGGAAGUGACGGUACCCCAAGAGGAAGCCCCUGCUAACUACGUG